rnacentral:rRNA from 1 species
UAGAUGUUCUGGGCCGCACGCGCGCUACACUGACAGGGCCAGCGAGUACAUCACCUUAACCGAGAGGUUUGGGUAAUCUUGUUAAACCCUGUCGUGCUGGGGAUAGAGCAUUGCAAUUAUUGCUCUUCAACGAGGAAUGCCUAGUAGGCACGAGUCAUCAGCUCGUGCCGAUUACGUCCCUGCCCUUUGUACACACCGCCCGUCGCUACUACCGAUUGAAUGGCUCGGCCCGUGCCCCCGCCCCGCCCGC